rnacentral:lncRNA from 1 species
ACCUAAUGUAAACGACAAGUUAAUGGGUACAGCACACCAACAUGGCACAUGUAUACAUAUGUAACAAACCUGCACGUUGUGCACAUGUACCCUAGAACUUAAAGUAUAAUAAUAAAAAAAAAGAAAACAGACCCCCUUUUCACCAAAGCCGGCCAUAAAACCUGAAAAUAGUACUCUAACCCCUUCCCUCCUUUCUGUGUAAAAACUAGACUUAAAUAAAUUAUCUGACCUGCUUGAUUGCAGGUCAUAAGAUCCUCAUUCCAGAGAAGGUCCUGCCCCACACCCAGAAGGAAGGAACGCUGCUCAGAGAGGCCAAGAAGAAUCUAGACAGACAGUCCUUGCUGGUUUUCGCCACUUAGUCUAGUAGCAUUAGGUCAUAGCCUUUCUGUUCCAUCCUCUUUCUACACAGCUGUCCAUACUUCCUUAACCUACACAUAAAAUGGAUAGUUCCCCCUAUAUCCUUAGGUCUUCAUGCUGAAGUUCCCCACGUCAUAUAAAACUAUGAUUUAAUAAACCUGUAUGCUUUUCCCCCUAUUAAUCUGCCUUUGAUCAGUUGAUUUUCAGCAAACCCUCAGUGAAGGGGAAGUUUUUCCUUUGAGUCGACAAAAAAAAAAAAAAAAAAGGGAAUGUCCACCUGACUAUAUACAUUGAAGUUCUUUGUUGCCACCCCUUGAGAAUUCCUGUACCAAUGUAUAAUGUACAAAUAACAUGAUUUAUUCCUACUCUGGUGGCAGCAGCACAAAGAUGGACUAGUUAGACAUUUCCCCUCGUUCCAUGGAAUGAGCAUAUUUGGUCAAGCCUGGGUUUUUUCACAGACUAAGAGAUAGAAACUCUUGAAUUACUUGCAAUAAUAAAAGCCUGUGUCUUUGCCUAGAAAAUCCUAAAUAACCACUACCAGACAGCUCUUCACCUAGAUUACUACUUGUUAAAAUUCUGACCUGAGAUGGAUGUUCCCCAUAUCCCUAGGUAGUGUUAGCUAUAUUUAGUAUGUGCCUAUAGUAUAGCAUUUACAGAGAUAUACCUAAUGUAAAUGACGAGUUAAUACGUGCAGUACACCAACAUGGCACAUGUAUACAUAUGUAACAAACCUGCACAUUGUGCACAUGUACCCUAGAACUUAAAGUAUAAUAAAAAUUAAAAAAAAAAGAAAGAAAAAGAAAGGCCA